rnacentral:rRNA from 1 species
UGCGCAGGCGGCCUGAUAAGUCAGGGGUGAAAUAUGACGGCUCAACCGUCAAACGGCCCCUGAAACUGCCAGGCUUGAGUCCGGGAGAGGAUGGUGGAAUUCCUGGUGUAGCGGUGAAAUGCGUAAAUAUCAGGAGGAACACCGAUGGCGAAGGCAGCCAUCUGGCCCGGUACUGACGCUCAGGCACGAAAGCUAGGGGAGCGAACAGGAUUAGAUACCCUGGUAGUCC